GCCCGAUUAGUUCAGCUGGAUAGAAUGUCUGCCUACGGAGCAGAUGGUCGUAGGUUCGAUGCAUCGGGUA
rnacentral:tRNA from 1 species